CUAAAAGGAAGUAUACCCUGACACAUUUAAAAACUGUACAGCACAAGGUGUGCUGUUUAGAAAGCUGGAUGCUCUUUUUUCUGAGUGACCCACCAUAAUCCUGGGGGCAUCUUGUCUUCCAGGUAUGCUUUUCACCAAGUGAGGUGUGUUCCUGUAGCAAUCAUACAAGGGCCAAAGUGAAAACUGGGUUGGCUUAAAGUAUGUUCCUGCUACUUACCUGCCCCAAAAGAGACAUUUGGACAGGAUCUGAGAAUGACGUGUCCACAAAAGGAAUUUCUAGAGGCACAUUGUGAAAUCCCACUUGGAGGACAGUACCAAUGCAUGGCAUCAGCACCCUGGCCACUGGGGAAGACUAGCUACAGGGGCACAAACAGUCAUGUUGUCUGUAAAUGGACAGGGUUGUGCAACUGGAGACCUCAGCCUUGCUGUGAUACUACCAGCCAUUUAAACUUCUCGACACAGAAGAUGCGAUAUAUCGAUCCCUGAAUGCGCUCCCCAUCGACCCCGGAACUCCAUCGGAGCUAGCGGCGGUAGCGGACUCCAUGGGGGAGCUGUGGACAUCAAUCCCGUGCCGUGAGGACCCGAGGUAAAUCGAUCUAAGAUACUUCGACUUCAGCUAUGCUAUUCAUCAGCCCUAAGAGUGGGAAGGCAAGAGAAAAGAUUUAAAGCCUGAUGUUUAUACAACCAGCUCAUUAAUUGUACGUAUUACUUCCUUACAAAGGGGACAAUUCCUUUUGUCUUUUUGGGACCCAGAGCAUAUGGAGUUUCCAAGUAUCAUUCCUGAGCAGACUAUGUCGGGUUCUCAACCCUUGGAGAAUCCUCAUGCUCCUGAUCAAGCCUUCUCACAAUGGCACUAGUGCGCUGGUCCAACAAAGCCCCGUCCCCUCACAGAGCAAGGGUUGGUGGCUUGUAGCAGCAAGAUAUAGGUUACCCUCUAAGACCCCUAAAAAGCUGCCUGCUGAACUACUUGGACUUAGCUUGAUCUUGCAGGGCUUUUCUAGCAGUCAAAGGGAGUUACUGAGAGGUGCUG